rnacentral:rRNA from 1 species
UACGUAGGGACCAAGCGUUGUUCGGAUUUACUGGCGUAAAGGGCGCGUAGGCGGCAAUUCAAGUCAUCUGUGAAAUCUCCGGGCUUAACCCGGAAUGGUCAGGUGAUACUGCUUUGCUAGAGUGCAGAAGGGGCAAUCGGAAUUCUUGGUGUAGCGGUGAAAUGCGUAGAUAUCAAGAGGAACACCUGAGGUGAAGACGGGUUGCUGGGCUGACACUGACGCUGAGGCGCGAAAGCUAGGGGAGCAAACAGG